rnacentral:rRNA from 1 species
AUUGAACGCUGGCGGCAUGCCUUACACAUGCAAGUCGAACGGCAGCACGGGUGCUUGCACCUGGUGGCGAGUGGCGAGCGGGUGAGUAAUACAUCGGAACGUACCUUAUCGUGGGGGAUAACGCAGCGAAAGCUGUGCUAAUACCGCAUACGCCCUGAGGGGGAAAGCGGGGGAUCGCAAGACCUCGCGCGAUUAGAGCGGCCGAUGCCUGAUUAGCUUGUUGGUGGGGUAAAAGCCCACCAAGGCGACGAUCAGUAGCUGGUCUGAGAGGACGAUCAGCCACACUGGGACGGAGACACGGCCCAGACUCCUACGGGAGGCAGCAGUGGGGAAUUUUGGACAAUGGGGGCAACCCUGAUCCAGCAAUGCCGCGUGAGUGAAGAAGGCCUUCGGGUUGUAAAGCUCUUUUGUCAGGGAAGAAACACCGGCUCUAACACAGUCCGGGAAUGACGGUACCUGAAGAAUAAGCACCGGCUAACUACGUGCCAGCCGCCGCGGUAA